rnacentral:lncRNA from 1 species
UCCAAGAUUAGCUGGAUACAUAGAUCUGAGCUUGGGGAGCCGCAAGCGGCAUGAUGGUUGGAAGAGUAAGACGGGGACUGCUCACCUGGAGUUUUCCCAUUGACUUGUGAACGCUGCACACACACAUAAGGCAAGCCCCGCCCCCCGGCCGUUAAUAGGCUCUGAGUUCACCUUUACUGCCACACCCAGACACGGACUGUCUUCAUCUCUCAGGUAUGGCCAAGUGAGACAAGGACAAAAGAGCCAUUUGGUCUACCUGCCUCACCUAUCUUGGACUCCUGCAACAAAAUGAUUUGAGGCAAAGUCUUGGUCUAAUUAAUUGAUGAGCUAUAUGUAUAGCAGACAAGAGAACCCUGGUCAAUGGAACCCCAAAGUCUGUGGAGACUGAUAAAAUAUCCAGCGGAGAUGUUCCAAGAAGACUGAUGUACAAACUGGCCAGACCCUUUACAAAGGCGUGUGCCUCAGAGAGAAAUGCCUGCCAGGACCUCGUGACCAUGAAUGUGCUGCCUUUGAAACAAAUCAAAACAACCAAACCAUUCCAAUGACGAUAAUAAUAACAACCCACCUGCAACAGUAACUGAAGAGGCAAGAAUGCAUCCUAGGCCUUGAAAGGGUCUCACUAUAACCCUG